rnacentral:rRNA from 1 species
UAGGGAAUUUUGCACAAUGGACGAAAGUCUGAUGCAGCAACGCCGCGUGAGUGAUGAAGGCCUUCGGGUCGUAAAACUCUGUUGAGUGGGAAGAAAAGCUUUGGUGCUAAUCAGCCGAAGUAUGACGGUACCAUUCGAGAAAGCACCGGCUAACUACGUGCCAGCAGCCGCGGUAAUACGUAGGGUGCAAGCGUUGUUCGGAAUCACUGGGCGUAAAGGGAGCGCAGGUGGAUAUGUAAGUUAGGAGUUUAAACUUUGGGCUUAACCCAAAAUCUGCUUCUAAAACUGUGUAUCUUGAGUAUGGGAGAGGAUGAUGGAAUUCCAGGUGUAGCGGUGGAAUGCGUAGAUAUCUGGAAGAACACCAGUUGCGAAGGCGGUCAUCUGGCCCAAUACUGACACUCAUGCUCGAAAGCUAGGGGAGCAAACAGG